ACAGGUGGCACCCAGGUGCAAUCGGUGACUGUUGAACCGGGUACUGGUACUUCCGCUAAAGUGGGAGCAGGGGAGACAAUGAAAGGUCAAACCAUCGUACAAGAUGACCCAGCGGAUAUCCGGCCUGUUUUAUGCCCACCGCCAAGGCAUUCUUCCUCCCAUUCUACCCAAGACAAUAUUUCCUGCACAACACAACAUUCUCAUCUGAAUACAGCUGGUCCAUCACGUCUACGCUCUUCUCGGCCUAAAAAAACAGAAGGUGUUCGUAUACGUACCCCACGUAGGG